UGGAGCGACUGCACACUCCAAGCAGACCAACCUACCUAAUAUUUUUCUUUCCUUGGAGCCAAGUGGCCACAAGCUGCCACCGAAGGGACCAGGGAGUGCACAGCAGAACUGAGUAGCUAGAACUAGGGGGUCAAGGGUUUUUGUAGCAUUAUGCCGUUGAGGAGAAAAAUACGACCAAUUUCUGCUUCAGGGAAGUUAGAAACAUCCACACUGAGCAGCCUUCUGAAUGAUCUGAGAGAGGCGGCAGCAACAACAGACCCUUUGUUUCGUCGGGCUCAGACUUCAUUAGGAGCCCACAGGCUGCAAGCCACAUCUCCAGUUUCAGAAGGUCAGAAGGAGGUUCCCCAGCUUCCAGAAUGGCUGAUGAAAGAGAUGCUGAAAGGACAACAGAGGAGUCAUUCCAUCGGAUUCAUGGAAAACAUAUCGGAGAGUGGAAGUUUUCGUCAUCGUGUUGAUUCCUCCAGAAGUCAAUGGAAAAGAAAGGUAGGGUGGGUUCUUGUGCUGGGUUCUGACAGGCUUCAAAAUAUGAAACAUGGUGAGAAACUGUGUGAUAAAGCAUGCUAGUAUAAUUUAUAGAGACAGAGCUGGCCCUACCAAUAGAUGCAAUGAGACAAUUGCCUGAAUUAACAGACAACAUGGGAAGCAACUGAAAGACCUGAGCAGGGCUGUUGCGGAUAUGGUGACCUGGAGAUCUUUCAUUCAUAUUGUCACCAUAAAUGGAAGUCAAAUUGAAGGCAGUUAAUAACAACAGUGGGAGAAGGAGUACCAUGAGGAAGAUUCAACUGCAGGUGAACCAAACAAUUUGCCCUGAACUUCAUAAGGUGGCACAUUCACAUCAGGUAUUGAAGAGACAGCUAAUACUAAAGUAACACUGAAGUGACAGUCAGACAGCUUUUACACAGAGUCCAGAAUGAGCAUCAAAUUGCCUUUUGAUUUCAGGGAGAAAAAUGCCUUGGAAACAACCUGGCAUGAAGAAUAUCUGCUUGGAAGUUAUUUUCUUUCCUAAACAAUUAGAUUAAAAUAGAUAGCCCUUGCUUUCAAUAUUCAAAAAUGGAAUCAUUUGAUGUAUUAUAAUUGCCAUAGGGAUGGUAUCCAAAACAGUCUUGGGGCUAUAUGGAUGGAUGGAUGGAUAGAUAGAUAGAUAGAUGAUAGAUAGAUAGAUAAAAACAGGAGAAUGAAGCAAGAUUCCUUGUAUACUAAGAAAUCCUGGUACUUCAGAUGUUCCUGGACUGCAGAGUCCAGCAGUCUUAACCAGCAGAGCUAAUGGCAAAGAUUAUUGGGAUUGUUGAAGGCUUUCAUGACCAGAAUCACUGGGCUGCUGUGAGUUUUCCAGGCUGUGUGGCCAUAUUCCAGAAGUAUUCUCUCCUGACAUUUCACCUGCAUCUAUGGUAGGCAUCCUCAGAGGUUGUGAGGUCCUCAGAGGUUGUGAAGCAAUUCAAUACUGGGAUUUCUGCUCCCAGAACUUCAGAAAGGCCAUAUAAUUCCUGCCAUUAUCCCAACUAUUUCCAGAUA
rnacentral:lncRNA from 1 species